UACGUAGGGUGCGAGCGUUAAUCGGAAUUACUGGGCGUAAAGCGUGCGCAGGCGGUUCGUUGUGUCGGUGGUGAAAGCCCCGGGCUCAACCUGGGAACCGCGCUUGAGACUGGCACGCUCGAGUUCGGGAGAGGAUGGUGGAAUUCCCAGUGUAGAGGUGAAAUUCGUAGAUAUUGGGAAGAACACCGAUGGCGAAGGCAGCCAUCUGGACCGACACUGACGCUGAGGCGCGAAAGCGUGGGGAGCAAACAGG
rnacentral:rRNA from 1 species